GAUGAACGCUGGCGGCGUGCUUAACACAUGCAAGUCGAACUAAGCACUUCUGACAGAUUCUUCGGAUGAUGGAUGAAGUGACUGAGUGGCGGACGGGUGAGUAACGCGUGGGUAACCUGCCUCAUACAGGGGGAUAACAGUUAGAAAUGACUGCUAAUACCGCAUAAGCGCACAGUACCGCAUGGUACAGUGUGAAAAACUCCGGUGGUAUGAGAUGGACCCGNGUCUGAUUAGCUAGUUGGUGGGGUAACGGCCUACAAGGCAACGAUCAGUAGCCGGCCUGAGAGGGUGAACGGCCACAUUGGGACUGAGACACGGCCCAAAA
rnacentral:rRNA from 1 species